rnacentral:tRNA from 1 species
GGGCGGUUAGCUCAGCUGGUUAGAGCAUUACAUUGACAUUGUAAAGGUCAGAGGUUCGACUCCUCUACCGCCCA